UGGCCAAAUCCCAAGGGAAGACCCAAGGAGC
rnacentral:piRNA from 1 species